CGAUAAAUUAAGGACUAAUUGCCUUAAAAAUCAUAAACUUUCACAAAUUUUUUUAAUUUCUUUUUCUCUGCCCUAAUUUUGAGCGCUUCCAGCAAUUCUGCGACGGCCUUGGUCUUGUUGCGGCGGUUCUUGAUGAGCACCUCGCUGAUGUCCGCCGGCGUCAUCUCGACCGGGUGGACGAGCGGCGCGAAUUCCUCCAGCGCCUCCCUCCCCAGAUCGUAUCCUAAAUAAUUCUUCAAGAGAAUAUUGAGCGCCGGCAAGGAGCAGUAGCUCAUGUGGAUGUGCAUGUCCAUCCUCCCGCUCCUCAGCAAUGCCGGAUCUAGCUUCUCGAUGUGAUUCGUGGUAAACACGAAGAUCCUCUCGCUGCCGCAGCACGACCAUAGCCCGUCGGUGAAAUUCAGUAGACUGGAAAGUGUAAUUGUGUUAGGGCCGUCGUCGUCGCCGCUGCUGCUUGCACCCUGCGCCACAUUGACGGCGGCCUUGUUCCUGUUAGUGAGAUUAAUCGAGCAGUCGAUAUCCUCGAUAACGAUAAUCGACUUGGAACUGGCGUGGUGGCUUCGGAUCUAAACGAAACCCUCCAAUUCCAAUCCAGCAAUCACGAGCUAGCUCGUUGACGGCGACGGCGGAGGCAGAACGGCGGUGGUGGAGUGGGUGUCGACGGGAUUUUGGGGAUUUCUCUGUUGGGGAUCUCCGUCGGGCGAGGGAGAUAGCGGAGAGGGGAGACUAUCCGGUACUUCUCCGACGGCGAAUCGCCGAGGUGACGGCCGGCGGUAGAUGAUGGUGGAGGUGGAAGGCGACGACUGGAUUUGGGUGAGGUGAAGUGAGGAGAGUGGAGAAGGGAGUUGACCGACAGUGUAGAAGGGAGUUGACCAAUUGUCCGGCUGCCACGUAUGAUAAGUUUAUGCCGGAAAACUAUCGGGUCGGAUGAGAAAUUUGCACAACCCGGAACCAUCACGAUUAGAGGUCUAAAAUUCGUCAGAUUGUCUUGAAAUUUCAACUAGAGGUAGAAGAAUUGUCAAGUUUCAUUCUGACUAAAGGAAAUCAAAUUUGAACGGUUAGAUCUUCAGUUAUUAA